GACGAACGCUGGCGGCGUGCUUAACACAUGCCAGUCGAACGGAAAGGCCCUGCGUUUGUGGGGUUCUCGAGUGGCGAACGGGUGAGUAACACGUGAGUAACCUGCCCUUGACUUUGGGAGAACUUCAGGAAACUGGGGCUAAUACCGGAUAGGAGCUCCUGCUGCAGGGUGGGGGGUGGAAAGUUUCGGCGGUUGGGGAUGGACUCGCGGCUUAUCAGCUUGUUGGUGGGGUAGUGGCUUACCAAGGCUUGGACGGGUAGCCGGCCUGAGAGGGUGACCGGCCACAUUGGGACUGAGAUACGGCCCAGACUCCUACGGGAGGCAGCAGUGGGGAAUAUUGCACAAUGGGCGGAAGCCUGAUGCAGCAACGCCGCGUGCGGGAUGACGGCCUUCGGGUUGUAAACCGCUUUCGCCUGUGACGAAGCGUGAGUGACGGUAAUGGGUAAAGAAGCACCGGCUAACUACGUG
rnacentral:rRNA from 1 species